UCGCACGAGAACGUUCUGGCUUUGCCAGGACAAGUACAGUGGCGGACGGGUGCGUAUCGCGUAGAUAACCUGCCCUUAGGCGCGGGACAAUCACGGGAAACCGUGGCUAAUACCGCACGUCGUCUGGGCCCCGCAUGGGGACCAGAUGAAAGCUUGGGGUUACCAGGCGCCUUGGGAUGGGUCUGCGUUGGAUUAGCUUGUUGGUGAGGCAACGGCUCACCAAGGCGACGAUCCAUAGCUGGUCUGAGAGGACGAUCAGCCACACUGGGACUGAGACACGGCCCAGACUCCUACGGGAGGCAGCAGUGGGGAAUCUUGCACAAUGGGGUCACCCCUGAUGCAGCCAUGCCGCGUGGAGGAAGACACCCCUAUGGGGUGUAAACUCCUUUUCUGAAUGAAGAAACCCCUGUAGGUUCAGGGCGCGACGGUAGUUCAGGAAUAAGCACCUGCUAACUCCGUGCCAGCAGCCGCGGUAAUACGGAGGGUGCAAGCGUUGUCCGGAAUCACUGGGUGUAAAGGGUGUGCAGGCGGGGCAACAAGUCGGAUGUGAAACCCCAUGGCUCAACCAUGGAGGUGCAUUCGAAACUGUUGCUCUUGAGUCCCGGAGAGGCUGUCGGAAUUCGUGGUGUAGCGGUGAAAUGCGUAGAUAUCACGAGGAACACCAGAGGCGAAAGCGGGCAGCUGGACGGGUACUGACGCUCAGGCACGAAAGCGUGGGGAGCAAACAGGAUUAGAUACCC
rnacentral:rRNA from 1 species